rnacentral:rRNA from 1 species
UACGAAGGGUGCAAGCGUUACUCGGAAUUACUGGGCGUAAAGCGUGCGUAGGUGGUGAGUUAAGUCUGUCGUGAAAGCCCCGGGCUCAACCUGGGAAUGGCGAUGGAUACUGGCUCGCUAGAGUGCGGUAGAGGAGAGUGGAAUUCCCGGUGUAGCAGUGAAAUGCGUAGAUAUCAAGAGGAACACCAGUGGCGAAGGCGAGUCCCUGGACAACACCUGACACUGAGGCACGAAAGCUAGGGGAGCAAACGGG